GGAAGGUUGGCCGAUCGGUAAGGCGCCUGGUUGCUAACCAGAGGCCCGGCAUAGCCGGAACAGGUUCGAUUCCUGUACCUUCCG
rnacentral:tRNA from 1 species